GCUUGUUAUUGUACUCUUUGUCCGAUGAUAGUCUAAAAUCAUCAUCCAUCUUGCAUUUUAUUCCAUAAAAGGUGAAAUAUUAAAGUUCUCUUCGUUGAGGCAUAGAAAAGAACCUAUCUAAAGCCAGACUCCCCUCUUUAGAGCACAACGGCUUUGAUUAGAAGAUAAGAAAACAAGAGCGCAACACUUUAAUAGGCUUAAUCUUCACCUCACUCCCUCUUUCUACUGGAAGAGUAUCACCAGUAGUGGCACGCCUAUCGCAAAUCACCAGAGAACAGCUUUCGAGCCCACUCCAGGGCUUGGAUCUCUCUCGCAUCAUUUCCUUCACCAACAAGCAACCGCUAGCUGCCAACGUAUAGCCUACUAGUGGCCAGGAGCAUCGCAGUGUUCAAAACCUG
rnacentral:lncRNA from 1 species